AGGAACCUUUGGACUUCAUCCCUGUGAUGAAAUCAGCUACAAGCAGGGAGUUAAUGUUUGAUGAAGAUCACACAAACUGCACAAGAAAACCAUGUGCAAGGCCUUCUCUUCCUCCUUAUUUGCUUUACAAGUCCUCAGAUUCGCUGCUGCUGGAGAUGUGGCCCAGGUUCAUUCUCUUACUCUCAACAGCACCACAGGCUCCUACUCCUCAGGGCCACCACCUACGCCUGCAGAGUGCUGAGGACACCCUGUCCUUGCAUCCCACUGACCUCGUGCAAAACAAAGCAGGAAUCAUUGAAUCCCAGCUGAAAACGCCUCAACAGGUGGAAGGUAUGUCUGCAAGGACACACGUAUUGUCAGCCUGGGCCCGUAUCCUCUGGGCUGGAGCCAGGAUCAGGGAUUAGCUGAACUCCCAAGCAGACCUGUCUAGGAUGGUGGAGCUUCAUGGACAUUUCUGCACAUGGAUUAAAGGCAGUUUUCCAAGGUCCCUAUUAUGGUGAUGUUAUCCAACCAAGGAGCAGUGAAGUCUGCCAAGCUGCAGCACUGCAGAGCCUGGGAUGAGCACCCUCGACCACUGUCAGAGACGGGUUGUACAGUUUCUGCCCAUACCUAAGUCCAAAGGUCUAAGUCAUUUCAAAUGAGAUGGGAUCACAAAAAUCCCAUCUUCAAAUUGGAGGAAAAAAUAUACCUGAAUCCCAUCUAUUUUCCUUACCGUCAUCACUGCUUUGAAAAUGCAAGUACUGACAAUUUCAGGAGACCCAGCAUCGGCAAGAGAGAAUAAACAUCCUGCUUGUUACAGAUAUUUUCAGUGCUAUCAAUUUGAUUUGUCCCAAAUAGGGCUAGAAGAGGAGACAUCAAAAAGAGCAAGAUGUAUACUCCAGCACUCCUUUCUUCGCUGACCCCACUUCAGCCAUCUCAGAGUUAUUUGCAGCAAUGCUUCAAGUAUGUUCCUCAGAUAGAUGAGC